GUUCGCCGACCAUCAGGCGAAUGCCGUCGCCGCCGCUCGCCAGUCGACGUCCCAUUUGGCUGAGAGUCAUAAUCUGGCUGAGAUUCCCCCCAGCGUUUCCACGGGGAAUCAGGCGCAGUGCCGACAUUUUGACGGCACUGUACCUGCAAGCGCAAACCUUUUGAGUUGACUGUACAAGUUCAAGUUCACUUAGUUUUAAUUACCCACUUUUUUGUAUACUUAUAAUUUUUUGUAUUUUUGUUUAAAAAUAAUAUUUGAGCUCCUGCUCGUUGCCCGUCUCGCAGGCGAAUGAAAUUUAUACUUGCCUCUCGUUCAAAUUACAACUUUUAAAUCUGACAAAUUGACAGCUAAAAAGCCACAGCCUACUUAACUUUUUUUUUGGAUUUCGGAAUUGCCCAAUUGCUAUGUUUUUGGAAACCAAAAACAAAAAAAAAAUUUUGGUGGAAAAAGGGUUAAAAAAAAAUAUAUAUAGUAUUGAUAACACACAAACGAUUUCAAAAGACUUAUUCAUUUUUUGUUAAAUCUAUAUUAGUGAUUUAAAAUAUUGUCCAACAAAUGCGAAACUCUUAAAAGAAUGGGAUUCAAACAAAUAAUUGGGAUCGUUUUUUUUUAUAAUUUUAAUUUUAAGUUGAUAACUUAAAGAAUAUCAUAAAAUUUUUAAUUAGAUUAGAUUCGAUUUUGGUAUAGAUAAUAAAAUGUUAUUCCGAAAUUUAAUAAUUUAAAAUAUUUUUAUAAAUUCCUUGUGAUACAAAAAAUGUAUCUAUAUAUGAUUUUCAGAACAAACAAUUAGAGAAGGGAAAUUAAACUAUUUCAGUAGCUAACAAAUUAUAUUUUUCUUGGGAAUUCUUGGGAAAUGUCUGUCCACCAUUUCAUAUUGCAUUUUUUAUUGAACCAUUAUCUUUUAUAUUAAAGCGCCCAGAUGAGCAACUGUCAGAACAUUCCCACUGCAAUCGAUGUGAUCCAUUGAGUGUGUGAAAAAUGCCCCACUAAUCCUUUUUAUUCCGCUUCCUUUAUUUCCACUCGAAAGGGAAAAAGGAAAAUGGGAAAAUACUGACAUGUGAGGGACAGCCUAGACAGGAGGGACCCUCCUCCUUUUCCCCUCAACCAAUUCUGACGUGGGUCAAUUUAAUUCGAAGAGAUUGUAAAGUUGAAAUAGCUGUAUGUGUCACACCCCAAAUAAAAAAAUAGCGAAGGAGCAUGGGGCCCAUUGUCUUGUCCUUUUUUUUUUUUGGGGCACCCAAAUUCGCCCACACAAAAAUUUCACUGGAGGUGUUGAAGGGAAAGCCCUUUUGUUUCCGCCUUCCUUGAGGUUGAGCGAAAGGCUCUUCUGUUUGAUAUUUUCUUGAACCAUUUGUGCUGCUGUCAGCAGUUUCAUUAUUUCCCAUUUUUUCGUUUGAGUGGGUGAAAGCAUGAAAUUUUGAUGGCUUGAUUGUAGGACCGAAAGUGAAAUUGAAAUUGAAUAUUAAACCAGAAUGGGUAAAUCAGUAACCGCAUAAUAAUUUCAACAGAGAGCACAGAGUAACAAUGGCCCACAGUUAUUACUACUGAUGAUGAUGCACCCCCCUCCACUGAUUUACAUGACCUCAUGGGAGGGUUAACAAAACUGCAGACCGGAGUUGGUUUCCAAGAACUUUUUCGGCCAGACAACAACUAAUGAAUGAUGCAACAACAAGGAAUCGCACUGACCAAGUCCGCAAAAAGUGAACUCUCAAUGGGGAAUGAGGGCGGAAAACUGCAGGAAAAUUCACCACCAGGAUGGGGGCUGGAAAAUUCAGAGAGAGAAAAACAUUUCCUGGUCUCGUUUGCUUCGUUUGGCGUGUGCCCCUUUUUUUUUGUUUUUUUUCUUGGUUUGUAAGCAUUUAAUUAAUAUUGAAAGCGACACAUAAAAGGCUUAAAUGCCCAGAUCCACGGAGGCACAGACCCAGAUACACACACUCGAUCCGUGGAGUGCAGCAGGCCUCCAGAAGCAGGCCAAUCAUUUUUUCCACCACCAUGUCAACGCAACACACAUAAACCGGCUCACUGACUGACAGAGUGAAUUUAGCUAGAAGGAAUAGUAGAGCGGGAACUGCACUGGAAAAUGCACAAGGUUAAAUAAAUACAAAAACCACACAUUCGUUCAACACAAAAAGGGGCUUUGUUGGCUUAAAUGCGGCCAUUAAAAACAGGCUGGACGACCAUGGUAAUGAUGACGUCGACGACGAUGGCGAUGGCGAUGGCGAUGACGACGGCAAUGCCUUCGAGUAGCAUUAUGAAUGGAUCAUUUACAAAGUCAACACAAUUAAAAUACACGCCCAUCCAGCGACCGCAACUGAAACUGAAACUGAUGGUUGGGAAAAGUGAAGAAGGGGUUUUUGCUCCACUGGCAAACGGAAAAACAGGAAAUCGGCGGAAGAUGCCAAUUCCCAUUGGCGAGCACAAAAAACGAAAAUAAAAAAAUGAAAAAAACCCUUUUCAACUCCGCUGACACGGCCAGACAUCCGGAACCAAGUCCGUGUAACCAAACCAGUCAGUCAGGUAAAUGAGCCCCCAGUUGGGUAGUUGGCAUACUAUACUAUAUACGCGCCGAAGGACAAAUGAGAGUGCGAAUGCGAAUAUGAACCGUGAAAUAUUAAUAGGGCAAGCGGACAUCGAUUGAUGUCCUUGCUUGUGGUUAUUAUCAAAUUUCAAACGACAGCGGCGGUGCGUUUGCGGUGGAACUCUAAUGCACAUUUUUAGCUUCAAACUGGUCCAUUUAAAUCAAAAAGGA